rnacentral:rRNA from 1 species
CCUACGGGUGGCUGCAGUGGGGAAUAUUGGACAAUGGGCGAAAGCCUGAUCCAGCCAUGCCGCGUGUGUGAAGAAGGCCUUCGGGUUGUAAAGCACUUUCAGUGGGGAAGAAAGCCUUGGGGCUAAUACCCUCGAGGAAGGACAUCACCCACAGAAGAAGCACCGGCUAACUCCGUGCCAGCAGCCGCGGUAAUACGGAGGGUGCGAGCGUUAAUCGGAAUUACUGGGCGUAAAGCGCGCGUAGGCGGUCUGAUAAGCCGGUUGUGAAAGCCCCGGGCUCAACCUGGGAACGGCAUCCGGAACUGGCAGGCUAGAGUGCAGGAGAGGAAGGUAGAAUUCCCGGUGUAGCGGUGAAAUGCGUAGAGAUCGGGAGGAAUACCAGUGGCGAAGGCGGCCUUCUGGACUGACACUGACGCUGAGGUGCAAAAGCGUGGGUAGCAAACAGGAUUAGAUACCCUUGUAGUC